GAUGAACGCUAGCGGCAGGCCUAACACAUGCAAGUCGAGGGAGAGGUUAUCUUCGGGUAACCAAAACCGGCGCACGGGUGCGUAACGCGUAUACAAUCUGCCUUUCACAUAGGGAUAGCCCGAAGAAAUUUGGAUUAAUACCUAAUGGUAUAUAGGAGCGGCAUCGUUUUUAUAUUAAAGCUACGGUGGUGAAAGAUGAGUAUGCGUUCUAUUAGCUAGUUGGAGAGGUAACGGCUCCCCAAGGCGACGAUAGAUAGGGGUUCUGAGAGGGAUGUCCCCCACACUGGUACUGAGAUACGGACCAGACUCCUACGGGAGGCAGCAGUGAGGAAUAUUGGACAAUGGUCGGAAGACUGAUCCAGCCAUGCCGCGUGCAGGAUGAAGGUCCUAUGGAUUGUAAACUGCUUUUAUGUGAGAAUAAAGUUAGGUAUGUAUACUUAUUUGCAUGCAUCACAUGAAUAAGGAGCGGCUAAUUCCGUGCCAGCAGCCGCGGUAAUACGGAAGGUCCAGGCGUUAUCCGGAUUUAUUGGGUUUAAAGGGUGCGUAGGCCGUUUGAUAAGCGUGCUGUGAAAUAUAGUGGCUCAACCUCUAUCGUGCAGCGCGAACUGUUGAACUUGAGUGCGUAGUACGUAGGUGGAAUUCGUGGUGUAGCGGUGAAAUGCUUAGAUAUCACGAAGAACUCCGAUUGCGAAGGCGCUUACCGUAACGUUUACUGACGCUUAGCACGAGGUGCGGGUAUCGAACAG
rnacentral:rRNA from 1 species